GUCCGUCCUCGGGGUAUACGUAGGGAGGCAUUUCGUCUCGUGAUUCUUGAUGCCUUGUGGGGAAAAUUCCUUGUCACAAUUACGG
rnacentral:RNase_MRP_RNA from 14 species